CUACGGGGUGCUGCAGUGGGGAAUAUUGGACAAUGGAGGCAACUCUGAUCCAGCCAUGCCGCGUGAGUGAAGAAGGCCUUAGGGUUGUAAAGCUCUUUCAGAUGUGACGAUGAUGACGGUAACAUCAGAAGAAGCCCCGGCUAACUUCGUGCCAGCAGCCGCGGUAAUACGAAGGGGGCUAGCGUUGUUCGGAAUUACUGGGCGUAAAGCGCGCGUAGGCGGCUUGAUCAGUCAGAGGUGAAAUCCCGGGGCUCAACCCCGGAACUGCCUUUGAUACUGUCAAGCUAGAGCUCGGAAGAGGGUGGCGGAAUACCCAGUGUAGAGGUGAAAUUCGUAGAUAUUGGGUAGAACACCAGUGGCGAAGGCGGCCACCUGGUCCGUAGCUGACGCUGAGGUGCGAAAGCGUGGGGAGCAAACAGGAUUAGAUACCCCGGUAGUC
rnacentral:rRNA from 1 species